rnacentral:rRNA from 168 species
ACAAGGUUUCCGUAGGUGAACCUGCGGAAGGAUCAUUG